rnacentral:tRNA from 1 species
GCCGGGAUGGUGGAAUUGGUAAACGCAGCGGACUCAAAAUCCGCCGGUGGCGACACCUUGCGAGUUCAAGUCUCGCUCCCGGUACCA